AGCGAACGCUGGCGGCAGGCCUAACACAUGCAAGUCGAACGAUGAACUUGGAGCUUGCUCUGGGGGAUUAGUGGCGAACGGGUGAGUAACACGUGAGUAACCUGCCCUGGACUCUGGGAUAACUUCGAGAAAUCGGAGCUAAUACCGGAUAGGACCUUGCACCGCAUGGUGUGGGGUGGAAAGUUUUUCGGUUUGGGAUGGACUCGCGUCCUAUCAGCUUGUUGGUGAGGUAAUGGCUCACCAAGGCGUCGACGGGUAGCCGUCCUGAGAGGGUGACCGGCCACACUGGGGCUGAGACACGGCCCAGGCUCCUCCGGGCGGCAGCAGGGGGGAAUAUUGCACAAUGGGCGCAAGCCUGAUGCAGCAACGCCGCGUGCGGGAUGACGGCCUUCGGGUUGUAAACCGCUUUUAAUAGGGAAGAAGCCUUCGGGUGACGGUACCUGCAGAAAAAGGACCGGCUAACUACGUGCCAGCCGCCGCCGUAACAC
rnacentral:rRNA from 1 species